rnacentral:rRNA from 1 species
AUGCAGCGGCACCUAAUGGUGACAGUUGUUAAAGCGGGGGAUCGCAAGACCUCGCGUCUGAAGAGGAGCCUGCGGCAGAUUAGCUAGUUGGUAAGGUAAAGGCUUACCAAGGCGAUGAUCUGUAGCCGGCCUGAGAGGGCGGUCGGCCACACUGACACUGACAUACGGGUCAGACUCCUACGGGAGGCAGCAGUCGGGAAUUUUGGGCAAUGGGCGAAAGCCUGACCCAGCAACGCCGCGUGAAGGAUGAAAUCCCUCGGGAUGUAAACUUCGCAAGAACGGGAAGAAUAAGCCGGUGUCAACACCACCGGCGAUGACGGUACUGUUUGUAAGCUCCGGCUAACUCCGUGCCAGCAGCCGCGGUAAUACGGGGGGAGUAAGCGUUGUUCGGAUUUACUGGGCGUAAAGGGCGCGUAGGCGGCCACCGCAAGUCGACUGUGAAAUCUCCGGGCUUAACCCGGAACGGUCAGCCGAUACUGCGGGGCUAGAGUGCAGAAGGGGCAACUGGAAUUCUCGGUGUAGCGGUGAAAUGCGUAGAUAUCGAGAGGAACACCUGCGGCGAAGGCGGGUUGCUGGGCUGACACUGACGCUGAGGCGCG